CGGCAGCGCGUACCCUAACCGUGCGAAGGUAGCAUAAUCACUUGUUCUUUAAAUGAGGACUCGUAUCAACGGCAUCACGAGGAUCCUACUGUCUCCCCCCUCUAAUCGGUGAAACUGAUCUCUCCGUGAAGAAGCGGAGAUGUACAUAUAAGACGAGAAGACCCCAUGGAGCUUUAAACCCAACAACACCCGCCCCUCUCCAAAUCCCAUUAUUUUCCCGGUGAUUGUUUGUUUGGUUUUAGGUUGGGGUGACCGCGGAGUAUAAGAUAUCCUCCAUGAAAAAAAGCUAACUGCCCUUAUUAGAGAAAGACACUUCCAAAAAAUAAUAAAUUAAUUUUAAAUGAUCCGACAUUCGAUCAACGAACCAAGUUACCCUGGGGAUAACAGCGCAAUCCGCCCCGAGAGCCCCUAUCGACAGGCGGGUUUACGACCUCGAUGUUGGAUCAGGGUAUCCUAGUGGUGCAGCAGCUACUAAAGGUUCGUUUGUUCAACGAUUAAAACCCUACGUGAUCUGAGUUCAGACCGGAUUAAUCCAGGA
rnacentral:rRNA from 1 species